GACCGCGUUGCUCAGUUGGCAGAGCAUUGGGCUAGUAUUCCAAAGGUCGUAUAGGUUCGAUUCCCACCGUGGUCA
rnacentral:tRNA from 1 species